GACGAACGCUGGCGGCGUGCCUAAUACAUGCAAGUAGAACGCUGAAGGAGGAGCUUGCUUCUCUGGAUGAGUUGCGAACGGGUGAGUAACGCGUAGGUAACCUGCCUGGUAGCGGGGGAUAACUAUUGGAAACGAUAGCUAAUACCGCAUAAGAGUAGAUGUUGCAUGACAUUUGCUUAAAAGGUGCAAUUGCAUCACUACCAGAUGGACCUGCGUUGUAUUAGCUAGUUGGUGGGGUAACGGCUCACCAAGGCGACGAUACAUAGCCGACCUGAGAGGGGGAUCGGCCACACUGGGACUGAGACACGGCCCAGACUCCUACGGGAGGCAGCAGUAGGGAAUCUUCGGAAAUGGACGGAAGUCUGACCGAGCAACGCCGCGUGAGUGAAGAAGGCUUUCGGAUCGUAAAGCUCUGUUGUAAGAGAAGAACGAGUGUGAGAGUGGAAAGUUCACACUGUGACGGUAUCUUACCAGAAAGGGACGGCUAACUACGUG
rnacentral:rRNA from 1 species